rnacentral:rRNA from 1 species
AUGCAGCAACGCCGCGUGAGGGACGACGGCCUUCGGGUUGUAAACCUCUUUUAGCAGGGAAGAAGCGAAAGUGACGGUACCUGCAGAAAAAGCACCGGCUAACUACGUGCCAGCAGCCGCGGUAAUACGUAGGGUGCAAGCGUUGUCCGGAAUUAUUGGGCGUAAAGAGCUCGUAGGCGGUUUGUCGCGUCUGCUGUGAAAAUCCGAGGCUCAACCUCGGACCUGCAGUGGGUACGGGCAAACUAGAGUGCGGUAGGGGAGAUUGGAAUUCCUGGUGUAGCGGUGGAAUGCGCAGAUAUCAGGAGGAACACCAAUGGCGAAGGCACAUCUCUGGGCCGUAACUGACGCUGAGGAGCGAAAGCGUGGGGAGCGAACAGGAUUAGAUACCCUGGUAGUCCACGCCGUAAACGGUGGGAACUAGAUGUGGGGUCCGUUCCACGGAUUCCGUGUCGCAGCUAACGCAUUAAGUUCCCCGCCUGGGGAGUACGGCCGCAAGGCUAAAACUCAAAGGAAUUGACGGGGGCCCGCACAAGCGGCGGAGCAUGCGGAUUAAUUCGAUGCAACGCGAAGAACCUUACCAAGGCUUGACAUAUAGAGGAAAAGUGUAGAAAUACACUCCCCGCAAGGUCUCUAUACAGGUGGUGCAUGGUUGUCGUCAGCUCGUGUCGUGAGAUGUUGGGUUAAGUCCCGCAACGAGCGCAACCCUCGUCCUAUGUUGCCAGCACGUAAUGGUGGGAACUCAUGGGAUACUGCCGGGGUCAACUCGGAGGAAGGUGGGGAUGACGUCAAAUCAUCAUGCCCCUUAUGUCUUGGGCUUCACGCAUGCUACAAUGGCCGGUACAGAGGGCAGCAAUACCGCAAGGUGGAGCGAAUCCCAAAAAGCCGGUCUCAGUUCAGAUUGAGGUCUGCAACUCGACCUCAUGAAGUUGGAGUCGCUAGUAAUCGUGGAUCAGCAACGCCACGGUGAAUACGUUCCCGGGC